rnacentral:rRNA from 1 species
UACGGGGGGGGCAAGCGUUGUUCGGAAUUACUGGGCGUAAAGGGUGCGUAGGUGGCGAGGCAAGUCAGGUGUGAAAUCUCGGGGCUCAACCCCGAAACUGCACUUGAUACUGCCUUGCUAGAGUACUGGAGAGGAGAUUGGAAUUUACGGUGUAGCAGUGAAAUGCGUAGAUAUCGUAAGGAAGACCAGUGGCGAAGGCGAAUCUCUGGACAGUUACUGACACUGAGGCACGAAGGCCAGGGGAGCAAACGGG